rnacentral:rRNA from 1 species
GAUGAACGCUAGCGACAGGCCUAACACAUGCAAGUCGAGGGGCAGCAUGAGAGUAGCUUGCAAAUUUUGAUGGCGACCGGCGCACGGGUGAGUAACGCGUAUCCAACCUGCCCAUUACUCAGGGAUAGACUUGCGAAAGUAAGAUUAAUACCGGAUGUUGUUAAAAACCCGCAUGAGUUUUUAACCAACGAUUUAUUGGUAAUGGAUGGGGGGGCGGGAGAUCAGGUAGUUGGUGAGGUAACGGCUCACCAAGCCUACGAUGUCUAGGGGUUCUGAGAGGGAGGUGCCCGAAACUGGAGCUAAGACACGGUCCAGGCUCCUGCGGGAGGCAACAGUGGGGAAUAUUGGUCAAUGGACGGGAGUCUGAACCAGCCAGGGAGCGUGGAGGAUGACGGCCCUCUGGGUUGUAAACUGCUUUUAGUUUGGAAUAAAAAGAGGGACGUGUCCCUAAUUGUAUGUACCAGCAGAAAAAGGACCGGCUAAUUCCGUGCCAGCCGCCGCGGUAACAC